UAUAAACUUGCAAUUCAAAAGCAAAUCAGCAUAAGCUUUUCCCAAUUAUUAAUCAAUACGGUAGGUCCGAGAUGCUUUUCUACACAGAAGAGGGACAUCUCUUCAAUACAUUAUCCAUUGAUUAUCUGCUCAGCAUGAAAUCUAUAAAUUCAGUGACCUAAAGGUUCAUUCAUUUUGGAGCUGGGUUUGAAAGGAAAGGCAAGAUUAUAAUGAUGGGGGCUUUGCUUGUUGUGCAGUGCUAAGGCCAUCUUUCUUUACGUACAGUAUAGGGUUUUUGCAGCUGCUCCAGAUAUUCAACAGAUAGUUUCUAGAAUGAUUAAGCAUCUUUUGGAGAUAAAUUUCAUAUUGCUGCAUCUAGCAUGGUGGUGGGGAACCUGCAGCCUUCCAGUUAGACUUCCUGCUCCCAUCAGUUCAGGUAUUGAACUGUUCCCUUCCCUGUAGGAAGUAUGCAAUGAGAAUGUAUAUAAGUGUGUUUUUCCUUUUGUCCAUCCUGCAUGUUUGCAAGCAAGGACCCUGUUAAAGAUCAGGCUUACUAGCCGCUUUGCUUCAUCCUGUCUUUGGUUGGUCUCUUCAUUCUCCGACUGAUAGCCUCACUGAUCUCUAUACGGGCUCCUUGCAUGCAGCUCCUACAUGGAAGGGAGCAGUUCAGUAUUUUUACAACAGAAGCUCUGGGUAGUUGAGCAGAGUUACAAAUUUGUAUGUGUGAGUGACAUACCGGUAGAGACAGAGAAAUUCCAGAGGGGCGAUCCUGUUAGGCUGCAAUAGAUUGUAAUGGAUUGCUUUGAAGCAGGGCCAGAUUUUGGUUUGAUGAGGCCCUAAGCUACUGAAGGUAAUGGGGCCCUUUAUAUGUCCAGCUGCCCUUUGUCAACAACAAAUGUCACUGUAUUUUUGUGUUGAAUAUAUGCUAUAUGGUAAUUGAUGGACCUAAUAGGUAUCUAGCGCCAUUUGCACAUGUAGCCACGCAACCAGUCCAUGCAGAAUGUAGGCACCCUAUGAAGAAAUGAGCAAACCAGUGAUAUUUUAGGGAGCAGGCUAGCGGGUGGGGCCCAUUACUUGCAUCAUAGGAGCCUACACAAGACAAAACACUUGCUGUAUGUAGGUUUUAUUUUAUUUGUUUAUUAUAUUUUGGAAAUGUACAUCUAGGGUUUUUUUCCCUUUAAAUUUUUGUGGGGGCCCCAAGAGAGUGGGGUCCUAAGCUAUACCUUGUUUAGCUUAUACGUAAAUCCAGCACUGCUUUGAAGUCACUUCAGUGGGGGGAGGGAGAGACCCCCCCCCAAAAAAAUCUCCUUGUCAUGCCCUGUAUUUUUCCACAUAAGAUUAUAAUGAGGAAUACCGCAAGUAUUUCUAUGGUUGUAAAGCCCUUCACAAUUUGGUGAGGAACAUCCUUCAACGUAAUGAAAUCUACAAAUUGUACAUAAAUGCAAUGCUAUAGUCUUGUCACAUUGGGAUUAACAGACUCAAAAUCAUAAACCUGUAAUAUUUACAAAAUAGUAAUACAUACCCAACACUGCUUUCUAUUCUUAUUUUACAAUGCUUAUUUUACAAUGGUAUUCCAGGACACUGUGCGAUACACUCAUGUUAUAAACUGUAAUUUAUACAAAAGCCAAAGUAUCAACCCAGGUGUAUGUAAUUAACCAAUAAGUUACCUCAGUCUUUAAAGGAGGGCUUUACAUUUACGGUACAGUCCUUUGCCACAUGUGCCACGUCGAAGGUAGUUUACAUUAUCAGAUGCCCGUGUGGUCUCUUGUAUGUGGGAUGCACACUGAGACCCAUUAAAUUUCGGAGCAUAAGAAUAAGGAACAAUAUAAACGAUGCUCCCCUAGUUGCACACUUUAAUGAAGCAUCACAUACUGACGAGGAUUUAUCUUUUUUCGUUAUUUGGACAUAUCAUGGACCCUUGGAACUAGCCAAGAAGAUUCUUCUACAGAAAGAGACCAGAUUUAUUUACUUAUUAUUUAAUACAUUAACACCUUAGGUCUCAAUACAGAUUUAGAUCUUAACUGUUUCUUAUAAAUUAAGAACUGUAAUCUUGCAGCAUUUUGGGGGGUUAUCGCUUUAAGACUGAGGUAACUAUUGGUUAAUUACAUACACCUGGGUUGAUACUUUGGCUUUUUGUAUCAAUUACAGUUUAUAACAUGACUGUAUUUUUCCACAACAAAGGUGGCAACCCAAACAGCAGAACUUUCCCUUCCAUCACUCGACCUGCAGUGCAGGGAGAGAGAGCACCCUUGGGUCCGCUCGGUGGGGGGCGUGAUCAGUGCAGGAGCAGCCCAGGAAGUAGUAAGGCGGAAGGUCCGGCUGGAAUGGCGGACAGGGAAGAAGCCGAGGUGCGGGUGGCGGAGGAGACGUUGCGCGCCUGGGAACGUGACCAAGCACAGCUGAAGGCAGAUGUAAUUGACCAGGACACCCAGGAGUGGCAAAGCACCCCCUCCUUUGCUGGACUGGAGAGAGUUGGAGGAGUGGAUCUGUCUUACAUCAAAGGAGAUGACACAAGAGCCUGUGCUUCACUGGUGGUGCUCAGCUACCCAGACCUUGAGGUCUUGUAUGAAGACUGUUGCAUGGUAGCUGUGAAUGCCCCAUACGUGGCAGGUUUCCUGGCCUUCAGAGAAGUCCCUUUUCUUGUGGAGGCCGUCCAGCGUCUAGAGCGAAAAGAGCCUGGUCUCAGGCCCCAGCUCCUGCUCGUAGAUGGAAAUGGCAUUCUCCACCACAGAGGCUUCGGCAUUGCCUGCCAUCUCGGUGUGCUCACAGGCCUCCCCUGCGUUGGUGUAGCCAAAAACCUCCUGCAGGUUGAUGGUCUGGCCAAUGACGAGCUGCACAAGGAACAGAUCCAAGACCUUCAGGCAGGAGGAGACACAUUCCCCCUAUUGAGUACUUCAGGGAAAAUCUUGGGUAUGGCUUUGCGCAGCUACGCCAAGAGCACCAAACCUGUGUACGUCUCUGUGGGCCACAAGAUGAGCCUUCUGUCUGCUGUGCAGUUAGUGCACUCCUGCUGCAGGUAUCGGGUUCCUGAGCCCAUCCGACAGGUGAGAACAGGAGUUCAGGUGGAAGGGUGGUGCUGGCAGCCUCAGGCCAAGGGACCAGCUGAUCUGCCAAUUUGCCGCGUCAGUUGUAGGCUAGGGCUUCCAGUGGUGGUUGACCUGAUGGCUGCCAGAAGGUUGCCAACACGGCGAUGACCAUCGUCCUGUUGUUUGUCCUCAGCGUCUUGUGUUCUGAGGUUGCUAUACGUCCUCUAUUUGCGGAGGCUUCAGUUUAGGUAUCUUGGCUGAUGAUAGCCAUCAAAGAUCUGUCCUCCAUGACAGGGGGAGGUAACCUGCUGGUUUUGGCCUAAAUGCCCAAAGCACUCAGAACUUGGGCAAGAGCAAUCUGUCUCUUCCUUAGCAGGAUGAGCAGAGAGACAGAGAGGGAUGGGGUGGCAGACACAAGGAGUGGCAAGGCAACCCAGCCAGAUGGGCAGGGGGAUAAAUUAUAAAAUUGUUGUUGUUGUUGUUGUUGUUCUGGCCCACUUUUAGCUCUGGUCCCACCCCCUGCUGACUUCUACCCUGCGCACUCCUGGCAUGUCACCACCAGCAAAUUACGCCUGUCAUGACCACCGGCCACCUGCCAGCUAGCCAACCUCUGGGCCUCAUGCCAUCUAAGGAGAGGGUCUUCCUGGCUGACACAGAGUGUAAUUCCCUUUUAAAUAACUUGCUGCUGCCAGAUAAAGCAGAGGAACUCUUUCUUUCCUUCUUUCCUUCUUUCCUUCUUUCCUUCUUUCCUUCUUUCCUUCUUUCCUUCUUUCCUUCUUUCCUUCUUUCCUUCUUUCCUUCUUUCCUUCUUUCCUUCUUUCCUUCUUUCCUUCUUUCCAAGGCUGCCUUAAACUUACAAGGCUGCCUUAAAUCAGGCUUAAACUCUCCCCUGGGGUCUCCCUGAAACUUCCUAAGGUAGUGCAAGGUUUAUGGCUCCCAGGUAGGAGGGUGUUUGCAAUCAGCUUAAACCACCUGGGUUUAUGAAAAAGCAAAAGGAAAUGACUAAGAUUGGAUGGAAAAAAUAUGGCGUUUUAAAGAAAAGGUAUUACAAGGAAAAGUUACAGAAAAGCAGUAUAUUCCCCAAUGGAGCAAAAUAACAAAAUAGAUUAAAGUGUGAUCCUCUUUUCCUCUUCUCUUAUUACAUGCAGUAGAGCUGGUUCUCACUUAUUCUCACAAAGCCUUUUCUUAUCACACUGAGACCCACCUUGGUCUGCCCACCUCCAAACUAUACGGGGCCAGCUCUUCAUAGACCCCCGGUGGCGCAGUGCACCACGGCACGGGGCUGGUAAGUUGGGUGCCGGCCUGGCAAGGAGGGCACCGCGCGAAAACCAAUUGCGCCCUGCGAGGGCGGGGCGGGCAGCGGAGCGAUCUCCGCCCCUCAGCACCAGGGCGCGCGAUCUGCUCAAGACGGCCCUGAAACUAUACGAACUGCUUAAAAAAGCAAAAACAAACUUUGUUUGCCUGCCCCCACUUUAUAUCUUCAGUUCCUCCUGUCAUGCUGCACAAGUUCACCUUCUAAUCCCCAAAUAGUAUGAGAUAGUAUACAGCAUUUCCUAAAAGCAAGGCUCAAUUCCUUCACAACCUCCAAGGUGGGGAAUCGCCGCCCCACAAGCCGAAUCGGACCUGCCAAAGCUCCCCAUUUUGUUUUGUGAGGCCACUUUAGCUAAGCCAUGCCCGUGCGUGCAUUACAUAUGGCAUGGGCCAGAUCCAGCACUCUGGCCAUUACAUCACACCGGCUGUUCCUUCUGCUCUCCAAGCACAUAGGUGCAUGGCCUUUUAGCAGGCUGCUUUUUAUUGCAGGAUUUGUUUACUAGGAAUUGCUUUUGGGCUGGCUCCAUCCAUAACUGCUUAGCAAAUCAUUAAACACCCUUCCCAAGAGAUCUUCCCCUUUUAGGACGCACUGGAUAGUUAAGAUUUUUGCAAAUAUCCUAGCCCAGGCAUGUCCAAAGUCCAUUUCAGGGGCCUGAUCCGGCUCGUGGGUUGGUUCAAUCCAGCCCCUGUGGCAGUUUACUUCCUGGGCUAAAAUCCUAAAAAAAAACCUCAACAACUUUGGUUGGCCCUUUGGUCGGCCCUCAUGGACCUUCACUUCAUCAAAUCUGGCCCUCUUUGAAAAAAGGUUUGGACACCACUGUCCUAGCCAAUGACAUUUUCCCCUGUCACCCCUCUGUCAAUCACACCAUGGCAUCAAGGGGAGCAAUUUGCUUUUGCUGAGAAAACUAUAGGGUGCCCAACUAUAGGUGGAUGAAGUCUCCCAUCCGAAUUUCACGCCUGGGUGUUCCUGGAGUGCAGGAUUUGAUGUCACUGCACGAUAUAUUACUGCCUACGAUGCAGGUGGAGGUUGCCCACGAAUAACUGGCAAACCUGCACACCAGCAGACUUAAAUGGCGACCACAAGGAUAAAAGGAGUAGACUAAAUCACCCACCUCCUUUCUAAGGCCUCUCUUUUCUUGAGAUGGAGAUGCCUUGCCAGCUGCAGGAGGCUGUGCACUCACUGGCUGGCUGGCUGGCUGGCUGGCUGAAUAGCUCUAGCAGCAUUGCUCACAUCACCAGACUGCGGUGCUGCCUCUGGCUCAGGACCCUGCAAGAGAGUCUUCAGAAGCUCCCCGUUGAGAAUACAGCCAGAAGGUGGCAGUGCUAGACCACCUUUCUUAACCUGGAGGCUGCAUUUGAGCAGCGGGAGAUUGUAGAGUGGUGCGUGGGCAAUCAGACAUGCCGAUAGCCUGUGCCUUUGCUGGCUGCAAGGUAGGAUGAAGUUCAGGAGAAGCGGCUUCUCCCUUCCCUGCAGCACUCUGCGAGGGAGUGCUGUUUCCAGGGCCCAGCUACCAAAACCGCAGGGAACGUUUCUUAGUCGGCGGAGUGUGCGUAGUUGGGGCUCCCUCUUGAUCUGCGGUUGCUUCGCACAUGCAUGCAUGUGCUCAUCAUUUAUUUGCUACAGCAUUGCCUAAGAAGCCAUAAUAGUUCAAGCAUCAGAGGGAGGGAACGAGAGGGAGAGAAGAAAUGCUCGCACUGCGUCACAUCAUCACAAAUACAAGGCCUCUCGUUGUGAUCGCUUUGCGUUUCCAAGUCACCAAGUGCUCUGUGAUCCAAGGUUUUGGGUGCGCUUGUGAACUAGCCCUGAAUGGAGCCUGUUCCAGUGUAUAUUUGAAAAGAAAAACUGCUCCAGUGUUUCUGUUUGAUUGCUGCAGCAUGCUCCACAUCUCACAACACUUUAGUAAUGGUAGGUUGCUUCACCCCUGCUCUUACUACUACACAGGAGAAAGUCCCCUGUCCACAAAAGAGCAGGGGGGAAGUUUGUUGUGUGAUUUUAGGCCCCUCUUUCCGUGCUUCCCAGCACUGGAAUGAAACAGGCUCCAGUUCGUUGGGAACAGAACUUCCAAGCUCCACAGUCUCCAAACAUGCCCUGGGCUGAUGUUCCCAAAUCUCUUCCCAAAAUACUCCCGGCAUAACCUCAAGCCCCUAAUGCUGCUGCUGCUGCAGCUAGCCUAUUCCAAAAAUAGGUGUGAUCUGGAGGGAUUAUUAAGGCAACAUGAUCCAUCUUAUUGAUUAGCCUCUUGGUUUAAUAAGCCGGGUUAAGCUGACUCUUAGCACAGUGCUAGGAGUGAAGACUGGCAAGACUUUUUUUGCAAACGAAAAAGACACUUAAUAAGGCAUCAGAUAAACUUGCUUUAGGAGUGUCUCCCAAACCCAGGCUACCAAAAGUGAAAUGGAGGUAGCUCUUGAUGCUGCUACCAGUUAGUGUGACACUUAAUAAACUAGAAUUGAAAUGCCGCAGGUUUUAUUGAAAUAUACUGAAAUGCAUUCAAAUCCCCUGGUUAUGAACCCAUUUGGGCCACUAGGGACUGGAAGUCCCUGGUCGUGAAUUUCAUUGCAAAGCCAGCUUUUUAAUCAAAGGAAGCAGAGUUAUUUGUCAGCUGGGUGUAAGAUGAGAUAAAUUCCUCCAGUGAAACAGUUCCACCUGUAGCCAUUUUUCAUUUUCACUCCAGAUGGAUGGAUUUAUUUUGGAAGAGCGGGGUGGCCUUUAGCUUCUACUGUAGCAUAUAACACAGCUUGCUUGUUUGAGCCAUCUAGAUUCCCUUGUCCCGAAGGGAAUUCUGGUAUGGAGCUGAAUGAUGGGAACUAAUUUUGGUAGAAAAGUGUAGGAGAAGGACUCUCAAAGUUUGUCAUAAUGAACCUUCCCAAUGGGGAGGGAUGCUGGUAGCCGGCAGGCAUUGAAAAGCAGCACCUUGCAAAAUUCCCUUACUUGUGCCUCUUAAUCUAACUCUUAUUAAAUGUACAGGCGUCCUGUCUAAGUAUGGACCUGACAAGCUCUAAUGGAACAGUGAGACCUAAGAAGCAAUUAGGCUGAGGGCCUGAUACAAUCAGCCAUGUCAUUUUUGACCACAGUUCCCAUUGCAUACAAAGACUAACGCUGCCUCUGCGUACACAUGUAAGCUUCUCUAUCUUCAAAGGCAUUAGUUGAGCUGCAGUGGUAUUAAAGAAUAUUAUCCAGUUAUAGUGGAGAAGAGGAAAUCUUCCUUUUUAGCAUUCCCCAGUGAAAGUGGAGAGGCCAGCUUUGCCUUGAGCAAAAGAGGAGAAGAGGCUUGAGGGUGUGCAGGACAACUGUGUAGCUACAUGGAGGAGAGGGAAAGAUGCCUAGCUGGGGGACAGGAGGAGCUGUCUCUGCAGAGGGCAAGGAGCCUGGCUGCUGGGGACCCCCAAUUGCCAAGGGAGACUCUACCAGGGACACUAUGUUUGGGGGAGAAGGAGGAGGCGGCUGAAUGCCGUGUAUUGGUUUGAAAUCGUUAACGAAAACCAGUGGUUAACAACAACAGAAAGAAAGUUAACCUGUCCAAAUAUGGGCAAACCAACUUUGUCCUGCGGAGUGCUGCAGAAACUCGAUCCCAAGGGAUAGGGGUUGGGCAGGCAGGUUAUUCUGUGAUAUUUGGGAAGCCUGGAAGGUGGUAAAACUGGGUAUUGGCUUGUACAUCAGGCCUAAGCAUUGCAAAUGGAGCCCUUCCCUUGCUGCCCUCAUGGAUUCAGUGUACAACAUGCAGGCUUGGGAGAUCUAGGGCAUGCAUGGGAUAUGUUGUGCCCCAGGCCUUCUUCUGGCUCAUGGCAUGAAAUGAGACCUUCCUCAGAUAACUGUAGGCAUAGCAGGGAGAGUCUGAGCUGUACCAUGCAAGUUACAAUAGGCGCCUCUAAGCCCUGGCAAAGGCCAAUGGCAGUUCAGAGGGGCUGGAGACUUGUGGCCUGGUGAGAUCUGUUCUGAAUCCUGGCUGACCAGCCACAGGAAAUGAUAAACCCUCCACCCCAUUCUCAGCCCUGGCACAGAGACUAUCUCAUAUGACUGCUGGUCAAACACACCCAAGUCUUUGCCCCAAGUGGUGUGAGAAAUGGUCAGAAAUUGGGAAGGGCGGGUUGUGGGACGUCUUUAUUGUCUACCAUCUGGUGAGCUCUGAGUUAGUGGCAGCAAUUUCCCCCGCAAGGCUGAUGAGCCCAUUCAGAUGGUUUGUCCUUGGAGGUUUAUUGGACCUCAUGGGUUCCUAAAUCUUUCCAAUGAGAAAAGCUGAUGAUCCCAUUGCAGCCCUGGUCUCGCUGCCAGGUAUAUUUGUUUUUAAAAGCAUUGCUGUAAUUACUGACAAUUAUUUUAUUAUAUACACCACUUAAAUAUUUUUUUGAGUAAGCAAAUCUAUAAUUCCCCCCCCCCCUAUAUCAAUAAACCCAGCCAGACCACAAAUCCUCCACAAAGUAUUGGCUUGUUCUAGAAUUAGGAAGUGAUUCCCCUGGGAAGCCUAGUGAAAUACGUUCCCCAAGGAAGCGUGUGACAACCCAUGAUGAGAAUUCUGUCCCAUUGGCUCUCUGCUAUUUCAAUCAACUCAGCCAUUUUGGCAGCAUGCGCCUGCUCACAUCACUUCGUUCUGAACACUGAACUGGCACACCUGCUGUUUGAGCUGGAGAAUCAGUCAAAAACUUAUAGAUGCAUACAUACAUACAUGCACAUGCUCACAUACAAUAUAUUCAUAGCCUAGAAGUAACUGCUUGAAUCUCCAGAGAAGUGGACACGGAGCAAUGGAUUCAAGCUACAAGAAAGAAGAUUCCACCUAAACAUUAGGAAGAACUUCCUGACAGUAAGAGCUGUUCAGCAGUGGAAUUUGCUGCCAAGGAGUGUGGUGGAGUCUCCUUCUUUGGAGGUCUUUAAGCAGAGGCUUGACAGGCAUAUGUCAAGAAUGCUUUGAUGGUGUUUCCUGCUUGGCAGGGGGUUGGACUGGAUGGCCCUUGUGGUCUCUUCCAACUCUAUGAUUCCUUUGGGAAAUCUCUAACCUGCUGAACAAGUCAUAGGUAUAGAAGACCGUUUUCUCCAAGUUAUUCAGAAGGCACCUCCCAUUGAAUCCAGACAUGGAUCAGGGACGGCUCACAGGAGCUCAUGCCUGCAGAGUACAUUCUGUGCAUGCAGGAGGUCAAAUUUUCACCAUUUCAACUUUUAGACGGGGUCAGGUCAGAAGUGACGAUGAGAAAGUUGGAGACACCCAAGGCUAAGUGGGCGCAGAGUAGCCUGACCCUUCUACAAGCCCUCUGGAUUUGUUCCUUGAUUUCAAUGCCCGUUCUAUUUUUUUAAUUUUUUUUAAAGGCACCCAUGACAGUAGGCAGGUAUCGGGGAUGUGUUUUGCCACCUAAUUACUUGAGCCAGAUUGGAGCGCAGCCUGGAAUUAAUAGGGAGGCCUUGUGGUGAGUUGUUGGGUGGGAAGUCAGUCCAGAAAAUGUUCCUCAGAUGGUUGGCCUAAGCAUGGGCAGGGCUGGGAUCUGGGCGUUUCUUCUUCAUUGUUCAUUAGGUGUCAUUUAUUCCCUCUCGUCCCACCACAAGCUCCUCAGAUACAAUCGCAGACAUCAGCCAGCCAAAACAAACUGCCCACCCCGGUUCUGUUUUCUGCCCUGAUUCCAGGCCGACAUAAGAUCCAGAGAGUACAUCCGGAAACAUUUGGAAGCCGUCUCUGCAUCGCCUCAGCCAGAGAGGAUGAGUGAAGACGCAGACGCAGACUCUGAACAUUAACGCAGCAUUGAGGACGUUCUUCAAAACCUCUUUGUCCAGGACAAGUGACAGAACAACCUCCCAGCUGCCCUGCGACUCCUGCUGACUUCCCCGUGCAGCAGAAGGAACAACGGAGCUUCAGUGCCACAACAUCGGGGCCCUGAUCCCCCAGUUGUACAGCUGGGGCUAUCUCCCACCUUUGGGGCUGCUUCUCACCUUUUGUAGCAGGAAAAACUCUGUUGGUUACCAGAGCCCAGACUAGGUGCAAUGUUAGUUGCACAAAGAAGAAAAUGUACACAGCACUACUGCAAUGGAAAUAGAGGGAAGAUUAGCCUCCAUCAGCAAUGAAGCAUUUUGGAACACAGGAUGGAGCAGGAAGAAAAUUGCUUUAGGAACUUAAGAUUGAACAGCUUCUGUAGAUACAAGGUGAGUGCCUGUCCAAAUCUGAGCCCUAUAUAAUAACUGUGCUAGGGGCUUAGCUUUAAACACUUCAAGGGUUGACAGUAUGUGAUUGCCACCUUUUGUAUGGAAAAAGCAUGUUAGAAUUUUGGCGCUUUGAGACGCUUUUUCCUUUGCAUAUUUCUGAUGUGCUCCCCAUGACCCUGUUGACUGAAAAAUAAGGCCGAGGUAUUUAAAGGCUUUAACUUGUUCUGUCAACUGAUGAUCCAUAUACCAUCUAUGGGCCCUAUAGUUUCUUGAAAACACAAUGUCUUUAGUUUUCUUGUAAUUCACAGCCAGCUGUAUGUUUUUAUAUAUACUGGAAGCCGCCCAGAGUGGUUGGGGCAACCUGGUAAAGAUGUGUGGGGUAUAAAUAGUAAAAUUAUCAUUUAUGGAAUGGGACAUCCCUAUUUUAAUCGGAGAAACGUUGGAGAGUAUGUGAUUAGAUAUUCUGUUUUGGCUCCCAUGAAAUCAUGGCCUCCAAAGAUAUGUGUUUUUUAGGGCUCUUAUGUAAGUCAGGUGAAAGAUGUGUGUCCUGAUUUUCCUUCAACAUGUUGGAGGGUAUGCUCUUCACCAUUCACAAAGGUACAUACCUUAAAGCCCUUUCCCCACCUGUCUAAAUUACAAAAAAAGCAAACAUUUGAGGCCCUUUUCUCACAGGGAAGUUGCUCCAACAAGCAAAUUCUCAACAGCAUCUACCUAGGUGCUCCAGUUUCUGAUAAACAUCUCCACGAACUAUGACUGCGACAUUUUCAGAGUAAAGGCAAGCCUUGAAUGAAGCUUGUUGUUAUUCAGCUUCACGAAAUAUGUUGACCUUCAACUCUGAACAUUUUGUUUUGCUUUUGUUAAUAAUGAAUCACUAUCAGAUGAUUAUGUAGCAAUAGAGAAUUAAAUGACGGAGGGUUGCAGCUCAGCUUUCAGGGGUGACUCGUGAUGCCCAAGCAACAGGGCUUUGGUUCCAUGGCUCAGUAAGUUGUAAACAUGCUGUUCCUUGUCGCAGCUGUUCUAAGUGAGUAAAGCAAUGGUAUUUGGGGAGAGCAGAGGUGUGAGGUUUGGGCAAUCAAAUAAGAAACCUGCUUUUGGAGGGAGAAGCCUCUUUGCAUGGGUAGGCAACAAGAUUGCCUGCUCUUUCUAAACCACUAGCUCUGUCAGUUCUAAUCUAGUAGGCGACAGCUCUGAAUUUCUUACGGUACUUUGGGGAAAUCCAUGGGAGAUGGAAUUAACGUCUUUGCCUCCUUGCUUUCAACUGUGCCCAUGUUCCAUAGCGUUGUAACUCCACAGAACAUAAUGAUGUCCUUAAUUUUAGAAUGUCAGGCCCGUUGUUCAGAUAGCACUGCUACAGCUUACCCCAUACUAUUUAAAUGCCACAUCGCUGGAGAUGGAGGUCAGUGGACCACGAUGACCUGCAGACAAGAGCAAAGAACUGGCUUGGACGCCUCCUUUGCUGCCCAUAUUUUUACGGGCAAGUAGGCACCACCACUGGCCAAAUAGCCGGCACUUUCCUUUCGCUUAUGUUUCAGUACAAAUGCAAAUAAGGCUCAGAUGCCAGGGCUUUAAUUGGAUUCCUGCGCAGUUGGUUGGUGGCAGCGGUGCCUGGGGAAAGUCAGAUUCUGGCUUUCACUGAUCUUCGUGAGCCAGUUGCUGCCUUAUGGCUGCUCCUUCUGAGUUUGCUCAUGCAACUGAUAUCAAUUUGUGUGGAUGGAACCAGAGGUGGAUUUAGGGAAGCGUGAUCAGUUCAGUCACGCUGUGUGCAGAGAGCUGCUUCAGGGGCACCACAGGGGGAGCUGCAACUAUGAUGUAGAAUGGAAGGUACAGCUGGUGUGUGUGCCAGAUUCUUGCAUUGCACAGGGCACCGCUGAAAUUUGAGACCCCAAGAUCCUCCACUGGUGGAAGUGUUCUCCGUCGAAAAUUAUCACCUCAUCUCCCAUUAACAGGUCUUGGUUGCCCCUGUCUACUCUUUAUGCUAUGGCACAAACCUCCAAAUUUCUUAGCAUGUUACAAGUACCAACUAUACUGG